GAACGCUGGCGGCAUGCCUUACACAUGCAAGUCGAACGGUAACAGGUCUUCGGAUGCUGACGAGUGGCGAACGGGUGAGUAAUACAUCGGAACGUGCCCGAUCGUGGGGGAUAACGCAGCGAAAGCUGUGCUAAUACCGCAUACGAUCUACGGAUGAAAGCGGGGGAUCGCAAGACCUCGCGCGGACGGAGCGGCCGAUGGCAGAUUAGGUAGUUGGUGGGAUAAAAGCUUACCAAGCCGACGAUCUGUAGCUGGUCUGAGAGGACGACCAGCCACACUGGGACUGAGACACGGCCCAGACUCCUACGGGAGGCAGCAGUCGAGAAUAGUCUACAAUGGCCGGAAGGCUGAUAGUGCGACGCCGCGUGAACGAGGGAGCCCUUCGGGGUGUAAAGUUCUUUUCUAUACGAGCAGUGCUAUAUAUAUGGAUAGUAUAUAUAGAGGGAUAGUAGUAUAGGAAUAAGCAACGGCUAACUCCGUG
rnacentral:rRNA from 1 species